AUGCUGGCCAGGGAAGUACUCCACAUGCGAGGUACUAUCUCCUGUGAGCACCCCUGGGAGGUCGUGCCUGAUUUUUACUUCUACAGAGACCCAGAGGAGAUUGAGAAGGAGGAGCAGGCUGCUGCCGAGAAGGCUGUGACCAAUGUGGAAUUCCAGGGUGAAUGGACAGCACCAGCUCCUGAGUUCACUGCUGCUCAGCCUGAGGUGGCCGACUGGUCUGAGGGUGUGCAGGUUCCCUCUGUGCCCAUCCAGCAGUUCCCCACGGAAGACUGGAGUGCACAACCAGCCACUGAGGAUUGGUCAGCAGCUCCCACAGCGCAGGCCACUGAGUGGGUUGGAGCCACCACUGAGUGGUCCUGAGCUGCUGUGCAGACGCCUGAGCAAAGGGAAAAAA